ACUAGGCUGGUUGGAGAGGAAGAGGAAAGGUCCAGAGAUGAGAGGCACAUGGAGAGACAGGCCCCAGUGGAGGUGAGCAGACCGGACCAAUGGCCUCUCCCAGCACCUCCGUAACAGCUGGACAGUGAGGCUAUGUGUCCCCCUCCCGCCGACCUAUGUGUCCUUUUGCCCUGUGUGGAGCGGAUGAGUACACACGAUUCACUCAGGGAGAAGGAGAAACAGCGGGACUCUAGAAACUUCUUUCAGACCCCUGAUACUGCAGCCUUAUCCACCAAGGCCACGCCCUCAGCGCUGGGGUUUCUCGGAGCAGUCAGCGCACGAGUUCAAAGGGCCUCAUUAGGAAGCAGAGGCUGGCUUUGAACCUGAAGUCUUCUGGUCCCAACCUCUUGAGCCCCUGUUAGGAUUACAGGCAGCACACCGGCCCUGGCUCCCUCUGGUAUUUUAAUUGAGACUAAAUUCCAUUGGAACUGCUUAUGGAUAGAGGGUGGCUUGACAUUCUCUUAAGAGUGCCGAGCUGUUUUUCACCCAAGUAAAAAGUCUUGUCUUUGCA
rnacentral:lncRNA from 1 species